AACAUCGCGCACCUGCGGGAACCUGCGGAAGGAUCAUUACCGAGUGAGGGCCCUCUGGGUCCAACCUCCCACCCGUGUUUAUCGUACCUUGUUGCUCCGGCGGGCCCGCCGCAAGGCCGCCGGGGGGCGUCUGUCCCCGGGCCCGCGCCCGCCGAAGACACCUGUGAACGCUGUAUGAAGAUUGCAGUCUGAGCGAAAAGCUAAAUCGUUAAAACUUUUAACAAUGGAUCUCAGAUCGGA
rnacentral:misc_RNA from 1 species